CACAACAAAGCGACAUCAGUCGACGCUGUGCUAAAGUGAAGGAGGACCAUAUUAGAAAGACAAAGGAAGCAAGAUACUCUGAAGGCACUUCUCAAAGCUUUUUUGCUACUGAAAUGUUUGAAAUACGACUGAGGUAGAACGUGAAGUGGGCAGAAUAUGUUUUCUAUGGACCCUUGUCCAUACUCGUGUGAUAAACUAUCCUGUAGUGUACGUAUGCAUUUUAGUUAUUUGGUGAUGACAAACCUGACAAUGUUCUCUCGCCCUACAGCUAAUCCCUCGAGGGGGCCACUCAUAUGCGCAGUUAAAGCACAAACAACAAAUAGGUAGUUCGAUAAACAUCCUCGUCAUCGUAUCACUCUGAAACGCUUCUUAUUUUUUGAUGCAGUGCUCGUCUAUGGAAGGCGCCACCUACUCAUAGUAUCUCAAACGCUCCAGAGUUUGUUGCUAGAUCCUGUACCAAGUCUCUUCACUCCCAUAUCGUUCACACCUCUGUCACUCUGAGACAGGACUAGCACUGAACAUAUAGACAAGGAAGGAAAAUAGAUCGCGGGCGGACUUCUUACCCGAUCACGCGUUGUGGACCCUUCUCGUGAUGCUGUACUUGCCUAAAGCAAAAGAUCAAAGCCUCAAGGAGCCUAUGAAAAGUAGAGUCGGCGGCCUUUACAUCGAGAACCCCCUUAUCGUGAUCCCUACCUGAAUUUUUUAACCUAGUAAGAUUGUGGUGGCCGUUAUGGUAGUGAUAGCAGGCAGCUGUAGUAAUAGCGUCGCUGACACAUAUGUGUAUGUGUAAGUGCACGUAGAAACGACGAACAGCAUGCUACUUUAAGAAAUCAAGAAUCAGUGAACAGGUCGAUAUGUAGGACACGGCGUCCCUGCGAGCAUGUCAACUUCGAACCUUCAAAAUCCAUCUUUAUAUAUGGCCUGGAAAAUUUCAUAAUUCCAUCUAGCGUACUUUCACGUGCACUCGCGUGCAUAGCAAAUUCGAUGAACUAACGUAAAUAACUAGCUAUGUUAUAUAUGAUAGCAUAUUGGAAUCGGUUUAUACAGCAAUCGAAUGCCUAGUAGGAAAAUAUUGUUGACUCAGGGUAGACUCAAGAUUAUUGAGUCUCCGGCUCCGGAGGACAAAUGCAAAUUGCGGCUAUUUAAGUAAGAUCAUUAUUUAUAUCAUGAGCAGGUCGAUCGGAAGACAACGAAGUAUCACCGUCUUAUGGUCCAUAUGGCACCCAUAAGGUGAUCUACCAUGCUUACUUAUUUUCCGAAAUAGUCGCCUACGGCAACUAUUUCUAUAGCGUUACGAUACAUACGUGUUUUGGGUCGCAAUGGCUAUGUGGCGAGGAGUAGGCAAAUGACAGGAGAAGAACUUUCUUGAAUUCCAUGUUACAUCCUAAUUGCAAGAUUUCGUUUAAUCUAGUGAUUUGUUUCAGACGCCGGCGUGAAUAAUCUCAAAGUAAGUGGUGACCUUUGUAUUAUAUUCAUACCGUAGCUGAAAGAUCUCUGGCCAUGUGGUAGCGUUUAAUGGAAAAGACACGCAUUUCUGUAAAUGUGAUGACGCAUUAAUAGAGGCUGAUCUAUCUCUUGUCAAUUGGAUUGGUCUUUGCGUCUGUCGGCGGAAACGGGACCUGACCUACGGGACUGUACCGCCAUAGUAUUAUAUUAAAAAAAAUGUUGACUGCAAGACCUCACUUUUAGCCUAAAUUAUCCAAAGCAACUUGAAUUUCCCGAGAAGUCGUCGCUUUGCUCUAGAAGAGUAAAGAGCGGGAAGAUAGUAAUAUUCCUUGAAUUAGAUGACAAUUCUCUAAUGUCUGAUGAUGUGGCUGAGACUGCUGAGGAUUUCGCGUUUGCUUUCCGCGACGCCUUAAAGGCAAAGAACAUUUUCAUUACUUCGAGUGUCGAUCUGUAAUUGUUCCCCCGAUUGUAUCAUCCGCUAGCGUGAAGAACACGCGACAAAAUGUGAAAUAGCUUCACCUCCUACGGAAUAUCCGUCUUCUAUAAAAGCCCAUCGCAGAGCCCCUCUGGAUAACGGUGACCCGAUCUUAUGAGGAUAGCUUUGUUCCUGAUCACAAUGAAAUUUC
rnacentral:lncRNA from 1 species